UACGUAGGAUGCAAGCGUUUGUUCGGAAUUACUGGGCGUAAAGAGUACGUAGGCGGUGACAUAAGUCUGAAAAUUAAAGACAGAAGCUCAAACUUCUGGAAUGUAUACGGAACUGUGUUACUAGAGGAUAGUAGAGGAAGUCGGAAUUCUCAGUGUAGCGGUGAAAUGCGUAGAUAUUGGGAAGAACACCAGUGGCGAAAGCGGACUUCUGGGCUAUUACUGACGCUGAGGUACGAAAGUGUGGGGAGCAAACGGG
rnacentral:rRNA from 1 species